CCAGGCUGUGGCACAGCCCGCACAUUGUUCUGGGAAGGUGGUGUCCCUCCAAGCCCAGGGGAUGCUCCAUAGAGAGAGAGGUCAUCCCGGGCAUAAGGAAAACUCAGUGUCUGGGGGGCAAAGUCCAAUGGGCACCGUGGAGUGAGAGGCGGCUCCAGCUUGAGGCCUGGAGAGGGUGCUGGGAGAGGGGCAGAGGGGUAGGGGUAAGCGUCCAGCCCCCAGAGUACCUUUGAGAAAAACAAAAUGCAUUAAUUUGGGCCCUAGGUCAGAAAAACAAAUUUAAGAAACAAAUAUGCUUCAAAUUUUGUUCACAGGAAUAUACUUUACUCAAUUGUUAAAAGCUGAAAAUAGCUCAAAAGAAAAGUUUUCUUAACUCUGAGAAACAAAAAGGAUCAGCAAUCAGCUGGGACUACAAGCGUGUGCCACCACAAAUAAUAAAAUAAAAUAUAUUAAUGUUUCAGAUAAUAAAUUGUAGCAACUCUGGAUACUAACCACUACCCCUCUGCCACAUGCACACAGCUUCUUGUUUUUGUUGUUUGCUUAUUUAUUUAGUGGCCUGGCUGGACUAUUUUAGGGAAGUUUAUUUCCCGGCUGUGUGCAGUUUCUGACGUCAUGCCUAAGAAGCCACAGCCUUGUGCGUGUGUACUGUCACCCUGGAAUGACAAUGGCUUUAAGAUGGCUUUCUUUGUGUCUGUUCUUGAGCUUUCUGUUAACCUGUAUAUUAGUAUCACACAACUGUUAGCCUCUACUAACUGCUGACUGGUUCCUCUAUUGUUUUAUAAUCACUUGGGCAUAAAUUUCUCCACAGUCUGAUCAAAUUAAAUUCAAGCCCCUUUGCUCUGUUGCGCAGGCUGGAGUGUAGUGGCACGAAUAUGGCUUACUCCAGCCUCGACCUCCUGGGCUCAAGCAAUCCUCCUGCCUCAGCCUCCCGUGUAGCUGGGACCACAGGUAUGUGCCACCGUCUCUGGCCAAUUUUUUUUUUUUGAGAUGGGGUCUCACUUUGUUGUCCAGGUUGGUCUUAAACUGCUGGACUCACCUUGGCCUCCCAAAUUGCUGGGAUUACAGGUAUGAGCCACUGCAUCUGGCCAAUAAAUGUUUAUCUGCCAUAUGGCCUUAAGAAAAAUUCCAGAGAAUGUGAAUGGUUGUUUUUAAAAUUAUUUUUCAUCAGUUAUGGUUGUUUUGUCUGCAGAGCUCCUCCUGACAGCAUUCCAAAUGUCCUCUUCCUAAAAUCUUCUCUUUAAUCCUAGUGUUCUAAGAUUUCACAAUGAUGAGCCUUGGUGAGAGAUUUUGCUUUGUUUUAUAUACAUUCAUUUUGCUAGGCACUCACUAGACUCUCAAUUAAGCACUUCUGUCGUUUCCGAAAACGUUUAUUGUGUUUUUAACUCUUUAUCACCUAUUAUCUCUGUCCUCUUUUUCAGGAAGUUGAAUCAGUCAGAUGUUGAAUCUCAGAUUGAUCUAAUUUUCUUAUUUUUUGUAUCCUGUUGUUCAUCUCUGAGUCUUUCUGUGUAACUUUCUGAAAGAUUUCCUUGAUUUUAUCUUUCUACCACUCUCUCACAUUUUAAAUUCUUGUUCUCUGAUUGCUCCCCCUUCUAUGGCAUCCAGUUCCUGUUUUGUGGAUGCAAUAUAUCUUCCAAUCUCUCUGAGAUGAUCAAUUGCAGUUUCUUCAACAUUUUCUUCUGCUCUUUGCAUCAUCUUUGUUUCCUCUGAGUUCCAUUUGUUCUGCUGUUUUGGCCUCUCUCUUACAUGUUGGAAGCUUCCCUCAAAUCUUUAGAGAAGCUGAGCAUGACGGUUCGUGCUUAUAAUCACAGCUACUCAGGAGGCUAAGGUGGGAGGAUC
rnacentral:lncRNA from 1 species